GACGGCGGUGUUUGGCACCUCGAUGUCGGCUCAUCACAGUCCUGGGGCUGAAGUAGGUCCCAAGGGGUAUGGCUGUUCGCCAUUUAAAGUGGUACGCGAGCUGGGUUUAGAACGUCGUGAGACAGUUCGGUCCCUAUCUGCCGUGGGCGCUGGAGAACUGAGGGGGGCUGCUCCUAGUACGAGAGGACCGGAGUGGACGCAUCACUGGUGUUCGGGUUGUCAUGCCAAUGGCACUGCCCGGUAGCUAAAUGCGGAAGAGAUAAGUGCUGAAAGCAUCUAAGCACGAAACUUGCCCCGAGAUGAGUUCUCCCUGAGACUUAGAGUCUCCUGAAGGAACGUUGAAGACGACGACGUUGAUAGGCCGGGUGUGUAAGCGCAGCGAUGCGUUGAGCUAACCGGUACUAAUGAACCGUGAGGCUUAACCUUAC
rnacentral:rRNA from 2 species